UACGGAGGAUGCAAGCGUUAUCCGGAAUGAUUGGGCGUAAAUCGUCCGCAGGUGGCAAUGUAAGUCUGCUGUCAAAGCGUCUGGCUCAACCAGAUAAAGGCAGUGGAAACUACAUAGCUAGAGUGAGGUAGGGGUAGAGGGAAUUCCUGGUGUAGCGGUGAAAUGCGUAGAGAUCAGGAAGAACACCGGUGGCGAAAGCGCUCUGCUGGACCUAAACUGACACUGAGGGACGAAAGCUAGGGGAGCGAAUGGG
rnacentral:rRNA from 1 species